rnacentral:rRNA from 1 species
UAGAGUUUGAUCUUGGCUCAGAUUGAACGCUGGCGGCAGGCCUAACACAUGCAAGUCGAACGGUAACAGGAAGCAGCUUGCUGCUUCGCUGACGAGUGGCGGGCGGGUGAGUAAUGUCUGGGAAACUGCCUGAUGGAGGGGGAUAACUACUGGAAACGGUAGCUAAUACCGCAUAACGUCGCAAGACCAAAGAGGGGGACCUUCGGGCCUCUUGCCAUCGGAUGUGCCCAGAUGGGAUUAGCUAGUAGGUGGGGUAACGGCUCACCUAGGCGACGAUCCCUAGCUGGUCUGAGAGGAUGACCAGCCACACUGGAACUGAGACACGGUCCAGACUCCUACGGGAGGCAGCAGUGGGGAAUAUUGCACAAUGGGCGCAAGCCUGAUGCAGCCAUGCCGCGUGUAUGAAGAAGGCCUUCGGGUUGUAAAGUACUUUCAGCGGGGAGGAAGGGAGUAAAGUUAAUACCUUUGCUCAUUGACGUUACCCGCAGAAGAAGCACCGGCUAACUCCGUGCCAGCAGCCGCGGUAAUACGGAGGGUGCAAGCGUUAAUCGGAAUUACUGGGCGUAAAGCGCACGCAGGCGGUUUGUUAAGUCAGAUGUGAAAUCCCCGGGCUCAACCUGGGAACUGCAUCUGAUACUGGCAAGCUUGAGUCUCGUAGAGGGGGGUAGAAUUCCAGGUG